GACGAACGCUGGCGGCGUGCUUAACGCACGCAAGUCGAACGGAAAGGCCCUGCUUGCAGGGUGCUCGAGUGGCGAACGGGUGAGUAACACGUGGGUGAUCUGCCCCUUACUUUGGGAUAAGCCUGGGAAACUGGGUCUAAUACUGGAUAGGACCAUGCUGUAGGUGGUGUGGUGGAAAGAUUAGUUUCGGUAAGGGAUGAGCUCGCGGCCUAUCAGCUUGUUGGUGGGGUAAUGGCCUACCAAGGCGUCGACGGGUAGCCGGCCUGAGAGGGUGGACGGCCACAUUGGGACUGCGAUACGGCCCAGACUCCUACGGGAGGCAGCAGUGGGGAAUAUUGCACAAUGGGCGCAAGCCUGAUGCAGCGACGCCGCGUGGGGGAUGACGGCCUUCGGGUUGUAAACUCCUUUCAGCCAUGACGAAGCCCUUGUGGUGACGGUAGUGGUAGAAGAAGCACCGGCUAACUACGUG
rnacentral:rRNA from 1 species